GCAGUGGACUGCUUUCACUACUAAGAGAGAACAUCUCCGCCGGAACGUGUACGCGUUCAAUUCAGUUCAGCAAACAGCCCAGCAUCGCCGCGCUCCGAGUCGCCGCAACCCGCAACCGGUCGUCACCGCUUUUUUUACCGAUUUCGCACCGUUUUUUUUUACCGUUUCGCGUAUUUUUCCGCGACUUUUUCGGUAGUUCUCCCGGAUUGGGGGCCGAUGAUGGAUUAAGGGUGAUCCAGUGGGGUCGGAAAAACUUGUUUUUAAAAUGUGCCCGGUGCGCGAGCUGUAGUUUUUGUGAUUCCUCGCCAGCGCAUCCCUCUCCGAAAAAUCGCAACGAUGUGGAUGUUCAAAUGUUCUUUAGUGGUUCUAAGUGCUAGUUUCUUCAGAGUGUACUGCAUAACGCACAAGCCUUUUUCUGAAAGUGAUCUCUUACCUGGGAAUGAUACGCAUCUUCCGGAAUUCGCUGCACUAUCACAGCAAUACCAGCCGUUCUCUCAACAACUUGCUCAACAAUUCUACCAGCAGUUCCAGCGCACACUGUCGCCUCUGCAACAAUCACACAUCCUCGACGAUGUCCAACAAAACUACAAGUUUCAGCUGACACAGCCGAGCGAUCGGGGCCUGAUCAACAAUCACCUGACGCCCCCGCAACAAUCUCAACAAGACUACUUGUUUCCUUCACAAAAUUUAGUUCUAUCUAGUCCGUAUCAGUUACCUUCCCAAAACAGCCAUUUCCAAUCAAACUCCGUCCCACAACCUCCGUCUAGUGUCAUCAAGCAGUCGCAAGACCCGAACUUAUUCCUACCUCCGUCAUCAUCCCACCAGCAACAAGAAACGCAACAGCCGCAGCAAACGUCAUACAUUUCAGCCGCACCCAGCUCGCAUGAUGUUCAGAUACAACAGUCCAAUGUUAUCCAACCCUUAGCGUAUCAACCCUACGUCACGUCCGCGCAGUCGCACCAGUCGAUACCCGUGCAACAACAGUCGCAACUGUCACAACAGCAGGUACAUCAACAACAAUUCCAACAAUCACAAAUACAACAACCGCAACUACACCAAACACAGUUACUACAACCGGUCCAACCUCAGCAGCCUCCGCAUCUGCAAAUACCUUACCAGAACAUUGUGAGUGGUCUAUCAUUCACGGCGCAGCCUGUUUCAAACUUAUUAUCGACCACCGCCGCGCCCCACCAAGAUGUGCCGCUGUACACAACGGCAACCGUAAGAAACGUCCCUUACGGUGCUGCGCAGUACACAACACCCAUGCCGAUACCGUUAAUCCCGAACUACAAUCAAGAUAGUCUUCCAACGCUCAAACAAUACAGUAUGAACAGUAUCGAUGUGAAUCCAAAUUUGAUCCAACCAAGUCCUGGCAUAUCCUACACAACUGUGUUACCAUUCCUUCAAUCGGUCUCUACUGAAGGAGCUAGAAUUUCCACGAAAUUUUUACCGGAAGAUAUUGUACCGUCGAAGUCGCCUAAAUUCAACUACCGCGGGCGGGUUAAACCGAAACCUCCUACGGAGUCACCGUCAUCAAGUGAUAAGAAAGAAACGUACAGUCUAGGCACAGAACUAUAUUUGAAGAAAGAACGGCAGAAGCAUUUCCAAGACGUUGUUAAUAUGCAAAACCGGUUGGUGAUAUCCACGACGGAGACCCCGAUAAGCAUAAACGCUGACGGUGACAUCGAAAAACAAUUGAAGCAGAACCAACACGUCAAAGAGACACUCCUACAACAGCUGCAGAAUUACCUACCCUCGGGGGUGAGUAAAGACGAGGUCGAAAUCAUCCCCGGGCCGACGACCUCGACGUCGAAUUUACCCGCCGGUGCGAUACUUAUCACCGGUGACGGGAAAAACUUGAAGAUAUCACCGACUAGGAAGUCGCACACCGAGGUCGCCGAUGACUCGAAACAGAUAAAAACGAUCGUGAUCCGGCAACCGGUUUCAUCGACAACAAACAACCACCCCCAAAACCGUGAGUAUCAACAUCGAGGAGCUCACCAAAGGGGUGGUCCCUCCCGGCACGGAAUACGAGGUCAUCAGACACAACAACGACGGAAACUUAGAGGAAGUUGGAAAGUUGCCUUCGAAUCUACCCCAGAAGAAGGUUACGUUUGUCAUCCUAGAGGAGCAACCGGACGGUACGGUUAA
rnacentral:lncRNA from 1 species